rnacentral:rRNA from 1 species
AAACCAGCACCUCAAGUGGUCAGGAGGAUUAUUGGGCCUAAAGCAUCCGUAGCCUGUUCUAUAAGUUUUCGGUUAAAUCCAUACGCUCAACGUAUGGGCUGCCGGGAAUACUGUGCAGCUAGGGAGUGGGAGAGGUAGACGGUACUCGGUAGGAAGGGGUAAAAUCCUUUGAUCUAUCGAUGACCACCUGUGGCGAAGGCGAUCUACCAGAACACGUUCGACGGUGAGGGAUGAAAGCUGGGGGAGCAAACCGGAUUAGAAACCCGAGUAGUCC